UACAGGGGGUGCAAACGUUGCUCGGAAUCAUUGGGCGUAAAGCGCACGUAGGCGGUCUGUUAUGUCGGAUGUGAAAGCCCUUGGCUCAACUGAGGAAGUGCAUCCGAAACUGGCAGGCUAGAGUACGAAAGAGGAUCGCGGAAUUCCCGGUGUAGAGGUGAAAUUCGUAGAUAUCGGGAGGAACACCGGUGGCGAAGGCGGCGACCUGGGUCGAUACUGACGCUGAGGUGCGAAAGCGUGGGGAGCAAACAGG
rnacentral:rRNA from 1 species